AAUACCGGGUACUCCGCGGGCCCCGCAUGGGGCCGGCGGGAAAGCCCAGGCGGCGGGGGAUGGGGUCGCGGCCCAUUAGGUAGUAGGCGGGGUAGAGGCCCACCUAGCCGACGAUGGGUAGCCGGACUGAGAGGUCGACCGGCCACAUUGGGACUGAGAUACGGCCCAGACUCCUACGGGAGGCAGCAGUGGGGAAUUUUGCGCAAUGGGGGAAACCCUGACGCAGCAACGCCGCGUGCGGGACGAAGGCCCUCGGGCUGUAAACCGCUUUCAGCAGGGAAGACAUCGACGGUACCUGCAGAAGAAGCUCCGGCUAACUACGUGCCAGCAGCCGCGGUAAUACGUAGGGGGCGAGCGUUAUCCGGAUUCAUUGGGCGUAAAGCGCGCGUAGGCGGCCGCCUAAGCGGAACCUCUAACCCCGGGGCUCAACCUCGGGCCGGGUUCCGGACUGGGCGGCUCGAGUGCGGUAGAGGAGAGCGGAAUUCCCGGUGUAGCGGUGGAAUGCGCAGAUAUCGGGAAGAACACCGAUGGCGAAGGCAGCUCUCUGGGCCGUCACUGACGCUGAGGCGCGAAAGCUGGGGGAGCGAACAGGAUUAGAUACCCUGGUAGUCCCAGCCGUAAACGAUGGACGCUAGGUGUGGGGGGAACAUCCCUCCGUGCCGCAGC
rnacentral:rRNA from 1 species